UUAGUGAGGCUUCAGGAUUGGUUCAGAGAAGGGGGCAACCUCAUCUUGGAACCGAAAAUUUAGUCAAACUUGGUCAUUUAGAGGAACUAAAAGUCGUAACAAGGUUUCCGUAGGUGAACCUGCGGAAGGAUCAUUACAGUAUUCUUUUCAGGCUGAAUUGGCAUUGAGCUUUCUGCUAUAGGAGUGCUGGGUGUUUACAGACUGCGCUGCUGAAAUAUUGCGUGCGCGGACUGUUGCCUGGUAUUCUGGAAAGUGAGACGUCUUUUCAUCAAGGCUUGAAAAACCUCCUUCUACACUUUGUUUUCUUAUUAGAGACAAAUUUGCUUUGGCUAGUAGCUGCGUAAAAACAGCGGUCUAGCCAGAGGUUUUCAAACAAAACUCUUGUUUUAAUAUUCUUUUCUUCACGGGGAAGAGUAUGGAACGUGAUAAUUUAUUAUAAUUUAGUCAUUAAAUUUAAGGACGCAAGUUCUAACUAAAAAAUUUAAAACUUUCAACAACGGAUCUCUUGGUUCUCGCAUCGAUGAAGAACGCAGCAAAAUGCGAUAAGUAAUGUGAAUUGCAGAUUUUCGUGAAUCAUUGAAUCUUUGAACGCACAUUGCGCCCUCUGGUAUUCCGGAGGGCAUGCCUGUUUGAGCGUCAUUUCCCUCUCAAACCCUUUUUUGGGUCUGGUGAUGAGUGAUACUGCUGGCUGGGUUUGUUUUACAGACCGAGCAGGCAGUUCAUUUGAAAUGCAUUGGCAUGAGUUUUUGUUUCACAAGCUAUAAUUGUUUAUUCAAUGUAUUAGGUUUUAUCCAUCGUUGUAGAAGCAGUUAGAGCGUGUGGCAAAGUUUUGGCUCUGCCUAACAAACUUUUUAUUUAAUCAUAAAGUUACAGACCGAGCAGGCAGUUCAUUUGAAAUGCAUUGGCAUGAGUUUUUGUUUCACAAGCUAUAAUUGUUUAUUCAAUGUAUUAGGUUUUAUCCAUCGUUGUAGAAGCAGUUAGAGCGUGUGGCAAAGUUUUGGCUCUGCCUAACAAACUUUUUAUUUAAUCAUAAAGUUUGACCUCAAAUCAGGUAGGAUUACCCGCUGAACUUAAGCAUAUCAAUAAGCGGAGGAAAAGAAACCAACAGGGAUUGCCUUAGUAGCGGCGAGUGAAGCGGCAAGAGCUCAAAUUUGAAAUCUGGUACCUUCGGUGCCCGAGUUGUAAUUUGAAGAAAGCUAUCUUGGAUUUGGCCUUUGUCUAUGUUCCUUGGAACAGGACGUCACAGAGGGUGAGAAUCCCGUGCGAUGAGGUGUCCAUUUCUAUGUAAGAUGUUUUCGAAGAGUCGAGUUGUUUGGGAAUGCAGCUCUAAGUGGGUGGUAAAUUCCAUCUAAAGCUAAAUAUUGGCGAGAGACCGAUAGCGAACAAGUACAGUGAUGGAAAGAUGAAAAGAACUUUGAAAAGAGAGUGAAAAAGUACGUGAAAUUGUUGAAAGGGAAGGGUAUUAGAUCAGACUUGGUAUUUAGUUAUCAUUACUCCUUGUGGGUGGUGCUCUAGCUUUUUACUGGGCCAGCAUCAGUUUUGGUGACAGGAUAAUAGCAAUUGAAUGUGGCUCCUCGGAGUGUUAUAGCUUUUGUUGAUACUGUCUACUGGGACUGAGGUCUGCGGCUUUGCCUAGGAUGCUGGCGUAAUGAUCCAAUACCGCCCGUCUUGAAACAUGGACCAAGGAGUCUAACGUCUAUGCGAGUGUUUGGGUGUAAAACCCGUACGCGUAAUGAAAGUGAACGUAGAUCA
rnacentral:rRNA from 1 species